rnacentral:rRNA from 1 species
ACGGCUCAGUAACACGUAGUCAAUCUACCCUAUGGACGGGAAUAACCUCGGGAAACUGAGAAUAAUGCCCGAUAGAACAUUAUGCCUGGAAUGGUUUAUGUUUCAAAUGAUUUAUCGCCAUAGGAUGGGACUGCGGCCUAUCAGUUUGUUGGUGAGGUAAUGGCCCACCAAGACUAUUACAGGUACGGGCUCUGAGAGGAGUGGCCCGGAGAUGGGUACUGAGACACGGACCCAGGCCCUAUGGGGCGCAGCAGGCGAGAAAACUUUGCAAUGUGCGAAAGCACGACAAGGUUAAUCCGAGUGGUUUCUGCUAAAGAAACCUUUUGUCAGUCCUAGAAACACUAACGAAUAAGGGGUGGGCAAGUUCUGGUGUCAGCCGCCGCGGUAAAACCAGCACCUCAAGUGGUCAGGAUGAUUAUUGGGCCUAAAGCAUCCGUAGCUCGUUUUGUAAGUUUUCGGUUAAAUCCAUGCGCUUAACGUAUGGGCUGCCGGGAAUACUGCAUAACUAGGAAGUGGGAGAGGUAGACGGUACUCGGUAGGAAGGGGUAAAAUCCUUUGAUCUAUUGAUGACCACCUGUGGCGAAGGCGGUCUACCAGAACACGUUCGACGGUGAGGGAUGAAAGCUGGGGGAGCAAACCGGAUUAGAUACCCGGGUAGUCCCAGCUGUAAACUAUGCAAACUCAGUGAUGCAUUGGCUUGUGGCCAAUGCAGUGCUGCAGGGAAGCCGUUAAGUUUGCCGCCUGGGAAGUACGUACGCAAGUAUGAAACUUAAAGGAAUUGGCGGGGGAGCAC